GCAAAGUCAGAAGGCAACAGAAGCUGGUCUUCCAGUAAAUGGGAAAUGUGUGCUUCCACACUCUGCCUAGCUCUGCCAUACUCCUAUGGCUAACUUGAAGCAAAGUACAGCUGAUUACACAAUGCAUUCCGUCUAGAAACAUUUCCCCCCCCAGCACAGAGCUUUGUUCUUGCUUUUUAAGCUGUGAAGAUCCAGAGAAGCAUAAAUCUUGUUAUCAAGGGGCGUGGCUGAGAACUGCCUCUCAGAAGAGAGUUCUGCAGAUGAACGGCAGCUGAGGACAGUUGGGAAGUGACAGUUGGGAACCGAGGAGGAGGAUCCAGGAUAGAGAUGAAGUGGUCCUGUGAGGCAAAAAGGGCCAACUGCUAACCUGGCAGGCAGCAAAUCUUACUGGAGAAAGAAAGAUUCCACUUUUCUUCACAUCUGCAUGAGGCCUCUAUUGGAGACAGAACCUUAAGCUGGGGCUGGCCCUUCUGAGAUUGAAGCAGCAGCAGUAGAGCAUGAGAAGAAAACCCACUUGGUCCAUUUCCUCUUUUUAGACCUCAGUUGAUCAUAUUUUUCAAAUGGUUUCGCGAAUAAAUCUCCAAACCACA